UUUUCAGUUAAAAAGAAAUGCCGAAAGUGUGGGGUGUUGUAUAUUGUGUGAAAGUUUCGGUCUUCGUAAAUAAAAAGUAUAAAUAACAUCUCAGAUGAUAAAGUUUGAAGAAACUGUGCAAGCUCCUUAUUAAAGUGGUAUACAUAAAUUUUAGCAAUACUUUUGCCUUUUUUAAUUUAGUAUUUCUAUUGGCCGGUUUUGGAUUGUAGCUACAUACAUACAUAUAUUUUGUUUAAGGACAACAAUAAGUUUACAUUCAUAAACACUAAACAUAUCAAAAUAACUUACGAGUGGCCAUAAUGUUAAAAUUUAUGCGUGGUAAAGGUCAGCAACCAACAGCAGAAAGGCAGCGGCUGCAAAAAGAGCUAUUUUCUUAUAGGAAGAUUUUCCUUUAUAUGCUCGGCCAUGGUCACUGCAUCGUUUAAUAACCUUGUCACAUCGAUAGCAUCAGUUUUGAUAGAUAUAUGUACAUUAGACUGCAUCACUCCCCAUACAAAAAAAAUCGGUACUAUGUUUCCAUUGGAAUCAUAAAAUCU